CCCUUAGAUGUUCUGGGCCGCACACGCGCUACACUGAAGGAGGCAGCGUGUACUCCUGGAUCGAAAGAUUUGGGUAACCCGCGAAUCUCCUUCGUGCUAGGGAUUGAGGUUUGCAAUUAUCCUUCAUGAACGAGGAAUUCCCAGUAAGUGCAAGUCAUAAGCUUGCGCUGACUACGUCCCUGCCCUUUGUACACACCGCCCGUCGCUACUACCGAUUGAAUAAUUUAGUGAGGACUUCGGACUGGGACCGAUGCGGCUUUCGGGCUGCGUCGGUAUUCUGGAAAGAUGUCCAAACUGUAUCAUUUAGAGGAAGUAAAAGUCGUAACA
rnacentral:rRNA from 1 species